rnacentral:lncRNA from 1 species
CAGAUCUCAUCAUCUGUGGGUACGGUCAAGCUCUCAGGGAUAGGCUGGGAUCUCAUGUCUGUCAUACGAUCCUAAAAAUUAAAAUUAAAAUUAUUUUAAUUUUUUAUAAAAAUCAAAUUAUGAAUAAAAAAAUUAUUGAAAAAACUUACAAAGAGCUCCUAGCUCUCCGUCGUCCACUCCCCCGACCAUCACUGGUGGGUCCGC